rnacentral:rRNA from 1 species
UGCCAGCCGCCGCGGUAAUACGGAGGGGGUUAGCGUUGUUCGGAAUUACUGGGCGUAAAGCGCACGUAGGCGGAUUGGAAAGUUGGGGGUGAAAUCCCGGGGCUCAACCCCGGAACUGCCUCCAAAACUAUCAGUCUAGAGUUCGAGAGAGGUGAGUGGAACUCCGAGUGUAGAGGUGAAAUUCGUAGAUAUUCGGAAGAACACCAGUGGCGAAGGCGACUUCCUGGGCCAAUACUGACGCUGAGGUACGAAAGCGUGGGGAGCGAACAGGAUUAGAUA